CCUACGUGCGGCAGCAGUGGGGGAUAUUGCACAAUGGGGGGAACUCUGAUGCAGCGACGCCGCGUGUGGGAAGACGGUCCUCUGGAUUGUAAACCACUGUCCCCAGGGACGAAAAUGACGGUACCUGGGGAGGAAGCUCCGGCUAACUACGUGCCAGCAGCCGCGGUAAUACGUAGGGAGCGAGCGUUGUCCGGAAUUACUGGGUGUAAAGGGAGCGUAGGCGGGGAUGCAAGUUGGGUGUCAAAACUACCGGCUCAACUGGUAGUCGCACUCAAAACUGCAGCUCUUGAGUGAAGUAGAGGCAGGCGGAAUGCCUAGUGUAGCGGUGAAAUGCGUAGAUAUUAGGAGGAAAACCAGUGGCGAAGGCGGCCUGCUGGGCUUUUACUGACGCGGAGGCUCGAAAGUGUGGGGAGCAAACAGGAUUAGAUACCCCAGUAGUC
rnacentral:rRNA from 1 species